rnacentral:rRNA from 1 species
CCUACGGGUGGCAGCAGUGGGGAAUAUUGCACAAUGGGGGAAACCCUGAUGCAGCAACGCCGCGUGAGUGAAGAAGUCAUUCGUGAUGUAAAGUUCUUUCAGCAGGGAAGAAAAUGACGGUACUUGACCAAGAAGCCACGGCUAACUACGUGCCAGCAGCCGCGGUAAUACGUAGGGGGCAAGCGUUAUCCGGAUUUACUGGGUGUAAGGGGAGAGUAGACGGCGACGCAAGUCUGAAGUGAAAUCCCAGUGCUCAACACUGGAACUGCUAUGGAAACUGUGUAGCUGGAAUGCAGGAGUGGUAGGUGGAAUUCCUAGUGUAGCGGGGAAAUGCGUAGGUAUUAGGAAGAACAACAGUGGCGAAGGCGGCUUACUGGACUGUAACUGACGUUGAGGCUCGAAGGCGUGGGGAGCAAACAGGAUUAGAUACCCCAGUAGUC